rnacentral:rRNA from 1 species
UACAGAGGUCUCAAGCGUUGUUCGGAUUCAUUGGGCGUAAAGGGUGCGUAGGUGGUGCUGUAAGUCGGGUGUGAAAUUUCGGAGCUUAACUCCGAAACUGCAUUCGAUACUGCGGUGCUUGAGGACUGGAGAGGAGACUGGAAUUCAUGGUGUAGCAGUGAAAUGCGUAGAGAUCAUGAGGAAGACCAGUGGCGAAGGCGGGUCUCUGGACAGUUCCUGACACUGAGGCACGAAGGCCAGGGGAGCAAACGGG